AGUGAACGCUGGCGGUAGGCCUAACACAUGCAAGUCGAACGGCAGCACAGUAAAAGCUUGCUCUUACGGGUGGCGAGUGGCGGACGGGUGAGGAAUACAUCGGAAUCUACUUUUUCGUGGGGGAUAACGUAGGGAAACUUACGCUAAUACCGCAUACGACCUACGGGUGAAAGCAGGGGAUCUUCGGACCUUGCGCGAUUGGAUGAGCCGAUGUCGGAUUAGCUAGUUGGCGGGGUAAAGGCCCACCAAGGCGACGAUCCGUAGCUGGUCUGAGAGGAUGAUCAGCCACACUGGAACUGAGACACGGUCCAGACUCCUACGGGAGGCAGCAGUGGGGAAUAUUGGACAAUGGGCGCAAGCCUGAUCCAGCCAUACCGCGUGGGUGAAGAAGGCCUUCGGGUUGUAAAGCCCUUUUGUUGGGAAAGAAAAGCAGCAGGUUAAUACCCCGCUGUUCUGACGGUACCCAAAGAAUAAGCACCGGCUAACUUCGUG
rnacentral:rRNA from 1 species